rnacentral:tRNA from 1 species
GCUCCCAUGGCGUAGUGGUCACUGCACUCGCCUUGCACGUGGGAGACCCGGGUUCGAUUCCCGGCGGAGUCA